GUUUUUUCAUUUUCUGAGACCGGAAGUGGUCAUCAGCAAGUGUGGAGCCAAACGACAACAAGAUUCUCAGAGGGCGGAGCCAGAGAGCAGUGAUUGGUCAGACUGACUGAGAGCCAGAGAGCAGUGAUUGGUCAGACCAUAGAUACUAUAGAAGACAGCGCGCUAGCGGAUCUAGUCUGCUGUAUAUAUCUAUGGUCGGCACGUCUGGUAGCAUCUCUGGCUGCUGUUGACCUUGUUUUUGGAGUAAAACACGGUGGAAGCUGAAUUAGUGAGGAUGACUCCUGCUCCUGUCAUCUCUAAGCUCCUCACACAUCUUUACCUGCACAUGAGGAAAAUCACUCCUGUAGAAUGCAGAUGUUCAGAGGGAGAUGAUGCCACAUCUGGUCCAGCUGAUGGAAGGUCUUGAAGUUCUCUGACUGGCCUCGACUGAAGAUGGUCGUCUCACUGGAUUUAAGGUUCAGAUGCUCAGUAACAAACUCCACCAAUGAGCCAACAGGGAAGCUUUAGGUUUAUUAAAUGUUGCUAUGAAGGUAUCGCUGUUUUUCUUUGUGAAUGCAAUGUGCUCCAACUGAAACUUGAAUUAGAACUUAGAAGUAAAUCUUCCAUCUGAAAUGAUUUAGUUGCAUUAAUAACCUCAUAACAUUCUAGUUUUUAUUCCAGUCUUGGUUGGAAAUAGAAUCUCUGUAUUGAUUCAGGUAAAAACUGAACUUCACAGCAUGUUGAAGCAAAACAUCCAGAGGAAAACUGUGAUGGUGUUGGAUUGUCAGACCGUAAUGUUGCAGCUCAAAGCAGCUUUUCUAUCUCAGUUCAUUCUGACAUUCAGCUAUGAAUCAACACAGCAGAUGGUGAUCCAUGCUGUGGAAGUCUCACAUCUCCUGAUUUAAUGGAGCUGCUUUGCACUUUUUACACUGUUUAUUCACCAACACUUUAUUUAAUAAAAGUCCCAUCUAGUUUUUAUGAGGAAUGUGAUGUUUUAAUUUCUCUGUGAAUAACUGCAGUCUAAUGGAACAGCUGGAGUUGUAACAUCUGUCCUGAUAUUGAUCAUGAAGUAUUGAUCAGAAUACUUAUGGUUAGCAGUCAUCCCUGAAGUUUUACAUUAAAAUCUUUACUUGUGUUGUGAACUUUGGUAAGAAGCAGAAACUUUAGUGUUGCCAUGGAUACAUGAGUGUUAAAUUCUGUCCAUGUUUCCAUUUUGCGAAAUGCAGUCCAGCAGAUGAGUUUGUUUUUACUGCCAGCUACAUUCAGUCUGAGAUAUUAAGAAUAAACAAAUGUACAUAAUGUGGAAAUGAACAGAUUCUAUUUUUAUUUAUUCCUACAGCUGGUGCUGGUAAAGUUCCAGAAUGUGGAGGAAUUUAGUCUCACAAUCACAGACAAUAAAUAUUAUCUGAAAGUCGGGUUAUUGUUGUUUAUCAGCACAAUACAAAAAGAUUCAUGUUAGACAUAUUCCAGUUAAGACUCUAGAAUAACAUGAUUUAUGUAAAUUUACCUCAAUAAUAUGAAUGUUCAGGUUAAGAUUGUGCAGUGAAAUUUUUAUGUAAGUUUAGCUGAUUAAAGUUUAUGACUCUGUACUACAAUAUUAUUUAAAUUUACAUCAUUAUUGUAAUAUUUAGGGUCAGACCCUACAGUAUUGAGAUUACAAAAUCAAACAUUCUAUAAAAUGUAAAUACACUGAACUCAUUUGGAUAUAUUUAAGUGAGACUGUACAAUAUUAUUUAUGACACAAAUCUAUCUAAAUCAAAAUUUUAAUCAUUUUUAUUCCAAACAUUUACUGGACUGAUUUAAAUAUUAAAAUCACUCCUUUCUAAUCCUCUGCUGUACGUUCAAACCUGAGGCCUUAAAUAGAAACACACAAGUAUCUGAUUGAAGGAACUUCUGCAGAGUCCUGGUUCCAGAACAUGAUGAUAGAAUUAUAGACAAACUUUAACAAAAGCUGCCUGAGAGUUUACAGGUUUUUAUGUUAGAUUUCUUCAGUAAUUUAAUAAGAGUUAUCAGCAAAAAUCAAGUGUUCAUUUGAUGAACUUCAUUUCCUUAAACAUCCAGAAUUGGAGCUCAUAUCUUUGGCAGCUGUAAAGUUUCUGCUCCUUCAAAGUUCACAACACAAUGAAUCAAUUCCUAAAACACUCUGAAUGCUGGAGAGCGUUUGUGAUGCUGAAGCAGUGAUCAGUUUUUCUGUUUCUUCUCUGGAGAUGCACAAUGAGGGACGUCUGCAGCGACUGAGAAAGAGUCUCACCACAUCCUGACAUGAGGAAAAAGACUUUAUUGAAGACUACAAUGAGAAGAACUAUCAGACAGCAGACGGCUGCAUUCAAGUCUGUAGCUGCUGAAUUCAUGGAUGAAUCAUCUGGCACUAGAGAGGAAGACCUUCAAACAUCCAUGUCAGCUGAUGGAGGUCCAAGAGUCUCACCCAACAAACAACCUACAGAUUGAAGACCUCCAAUCUGAUUGGACGGCCUCCUAUUCAGCCACGUGUGAACAAAUGCCUCUAAGCUGAUUUGUUUUCUAAAAUAAAUCUAGUUUGAGUCCUAA